GCUAGUAUAAGCAGCCAAUAGCCAGUUCAUGAGCAAUGCCGUAGUUGCGUCGACUUUAGACUGUUGCGACACCGGGACCCUCUUGUUCAACGCAUGAAAUAAAGAAGACAGUAGUGUUUCGAGUCUGGAUACUCCUAAUGUGCUUGAUGGCUCUAAGGUGUUCAGACCAUUUUCUCGAAAUGCCUCGAUCACGUUCCAUAUGUCGACGUUGUGCACUGUGUAAAAUUAUGCAUCAAUCAUUACAGAGCUUGCAAGCAGUACGAUAUGAUGCAAAUCGAAUGGUAUCAAAGUUCUGCUGUCGCAUCUCUUGUAGAAGCUGCAAACGACUCGUCUCGCCGCUACUUCCGUUUCCGGAACCACCUGCGCCUUCUUCUGCCAUUUUCGCUACGAAAAAUGAACGAAUAAUGUAUUUAUGUAUUAAUUAAUGUAUAUUUUUACGUUGAUUCUUCCUGAAUAUUUCUUCAUUUAUAACAAAUGUUGUUUUGCAACGAACAGUAUAAUCUUGCACUCGAGAUUGAUUACGUUUCUUUCUUAAGGAGUGGUAAAUUUAUGCGUCGUAUAAAGAUAAGUGAGUACGUAAAGCGAAGGCCGAACAACAAAAAAUAAACAGUCAAUUAUCUUGUAUGUUUUUCAAAUGUUCUACAAAAUGCAAAAAAUUUUACGUUACCAUUUUAAAUGAGAUAAACAAACGAGGCGCUAUUUUAUGUACCUCGUGCUAAAAUAACAAUAACCACCGUUCCAUCUGCUAAAAUUAAUCGAAUUUUUUAGCAGCAUUCAUUAUAAACACUACACGGUAGAAGAUCAUAAUAUCAUGUUUUGCUUCCAUCAUUUUCUUUUUGUAACUCCGACCAUUUCAAACGAUAUUUUAUUCUAUUUUAAUUCAAUGGAAUACUCCGUAUAAUAGGUAUAGACUAACAAAGCUGUGUUCUUAAUUCAUCUCGUAAAAUAAAGGACGUUACGCAGUGUCUGGUAAUCGCGAGAAUAGCUCUUCGUCAACUGAAGGCUGAAAGAGGGCUAGAAGAAUAAAUAGAGAACUAAUUAGUAAUGAUUAGAAUGUACAUGCAAUGUAUUCAUCUUAUGAAAGUAACUUUGUUCAAACGUAUGAGUCUACACGUGUAGAAUUGCAAUUAAAAUAUAUAUUUUUUAUUUAUUUAAAAUACGUAAUAUGUAUAUAGAAUGCUUUUUAUCUUAGAUAUUUAUGUUAAUUCUGUACAUAUAUUUACUAAUUAGUUACUAAUUAGUUCUCUCUAUAGUCCAGUUAGGUUGCUAAUUAAUAAACAGUUUUCAUUCUUAAGUAAUGAGAUGAUUUGAUAUUAAAAAUGCAAUAAAUUUUCUUUAUAUACAAUAAAAUUUAAGAAACAGGCAACUAAAAUUUUCUCUUCAAAAAAUAUUUGAAAACUAUAAUAUUAAAAAAUAUUAUUAAUGAACAUAGAUAAUUAUUUCGUUUGAUUAUGUUCAUAGUAUUUUCUUGUCAUAUAAUUUAUUUAAUUUCACUCUUUUCUACUGCAAUUUUUUUCAUUAUAGAUUUUUUUACAUGAAAAUCAUAUUUUCGGAAAAAAGUUAAUUCAAGAUCAUCCAACUGUGACAAUGUAAUCCGCUUUACGUACACGAUUGACCUAGUUAGUAAACGUCGAUAUCCGAAGUGUAAUUGAUUUAAAACCGACUGUUCAUUACUCUGGGAGGUAAAAGAUUAAUUUUUUUCGGUCAUCAACUUUUUGCUCUUUUACAUUCUUGUAAUCGACACAUUCUAAAUUAAAUAAUACAUUUUAAAUUAA